rnacentral:tRNA from 1 species
GUUUUGGUAGCUAAUGAAAGUAGACGACUCUUAAUCGUUUGAUGUAAUGUUUUACCCAAAACU